UACGGGGGGAGCAAGCGUUGUUCGGAUUUACUGGGCGUAAAGGGCGCGUAGGCGGCCAGCACAAGUCAGUUGUGAAAUCUCCGAGCUUAACUCGGAAAGGUCAACUGAUACUGUGCGGCUAGAGUGCAGAAGGGGCAACUGGAAUUCUUGGUGUAGCGGUGAAAUGCGCAGAUAUCAGGAGGAACACCGGUGGCGAAGGCGGGUCUCUGGGCCAUAACUGACGCUGAGGAGCGAAAGCGUGGGGAGCGAACAGG
rnacentral:rRNA from 1 species